rnacentral:rRNA from 1 species
CAGCAGCCGCGGGAACACGUAGGGUGCAAGCGUUAAUCGGAAUUACUGGGCGUAAAGCGUGCGCAGGCGGUUAUAUAAGACAGAUGUGAAAUCCCCGGGCUCAACCUGGGAACUGCAUUUGUGACUGUAUAGCUAGAGUACGGCAGAGGGGGAUGGAAUUCCGCGUGUAGCAGUGAAAUGCGUAGAUAUGCGGAGGAACACCGAUGGCGAAGGCAAUCCCCUGGGCCUGUACUGACGCUCAUGCACGAAAGCGUGGGGAGCAAACAGGAUUAGAUACCCGGGUAGUCCCUGUCUCUUAUAC